UAAACAGUAUAGUGGUGGAUCUGUAGGGUCUGGAUAGGUAUAAACAGUAUAGUGGUGGGGUCUGGAUAGGUAUAAACAGUAUAGUGGUGGGGUCUGGAUAGGUAUAAACAGUAUAGUAGUGGAUCUGUAGGGUCUGGAUAGGUAUAAACAGUAUAGUGGUGUAUCUGUAGGGUCUGGAUAGGUAUAAACAGUAUAGUAGUGGAUCUGUAGGGUCUGGAUAGGUAUAAACAGUAUAGUGGUGGGGUCUGGAUAGGUAUAAACAGUAUAGUAGUGGGGUCUGGAUAGGUAUAAACAGUAUAGUGGUGUAUCUGUAGGGUCUGGAUAGGUAUAAACAGUAUAGUAGUGGGGUCUGGAUAGGUAUAAACAGUAUAGUGGUGGAUCUGUAGGGUCUGGAUAGGUAUAAACAGUAUAGUGGUGGGGUCUGGAUAGGUAUAAACAGUAUAGUAGUGGGGUCUGGAUAGGUAUAAACAGUAUAGUAGUGGAUCUGUAGGGUCUGGAUAGGUAUAAACAGUAUAGUAGUGGGGUCUGGAUAGGUAUAAACAGUAUAGUGGUGGAUCUGUAGGGUCUGGAUAGGUAUAAACAGUAUAGUAGUGGAUCUGUAGGGUCUGGAUAGGUAUAAACAGUAUAGUAGUGGAUCUGUAGGGUCUGGAUAGGUAUAAACAGUAUAGUGGUGUAUCUGUAGGGUCUGGAUAGGUAUAAACAGUAUAGUGGUGUAUCUGUAGGGUCUGGAUAGGUAUAAACAGUAUAGUAGUGGAUCUGUAGGGUCUGGAUAGGUAUAAACAGUAUAGUGGUGGAUCUGUAGGGUCUGGAUAGGUAUUAACAGUAUAGUAGUGGAUCUGUAGGGUCUGGAUAGGUAUAAACAGUAUAGUGGUGGAUCUGUCGGGUCUGGAUAGG
ensembl:lncRNA